GGCCUCCCAAUUCUUACCACAGGCUGUGUUCUUUACACUAACUGUAUAGAAAGAGGAGGUACAGUAAAUGCACCCCAUAUACACUUCAACCCAGGCCUGGUCUAUAUUGUGAAUUGGGGGCCAAAA